rnacentral:rRNA from 1 species
GACGAACGCUGGCGGCAGGCCUAACACAUGCAAGUCGAGCGCCCCGCAAGGGGAGCGGCAGACGGGUGAGUAACGCGUGGGAAUCUACCUAGUGGUACGGAAUAGCCCAGGGAAACUUGGAGUAAUACCGUAUAAGCCCGAAAGGGGAAAGAUUUAUCGCCAUUAGAUGAGCCCGCGUUGGAUUAGCUAGUUGGUGGGGUAAAAGCCCACCAAGGCGACGAUCCAUAGCUGGUCUGAGAGGAUGAUCAGCCACACUGGGACUGAGACACGGCCCAGACUCCUACGGGAGGCAGCAGUGGGGAAUAUUGGACAAUGGGCGCAAGCCUGAUCCAGCCAUGCCGCGUGAGUGACGAAGGUCUUCGGAUUGUAAAGCUCUUUUGGCGGGGACGAUAAUGACGGUACCCGCAGAAUAAGCCCCGGCUAACUUCGUGCCAGCAGCCGCGGUAAU